AAUGAAUUAAUCUACAUUAAAAAGUUCUUAUUUUUUGAUUUUUGAUUUUCAAAAGUUUUAAUUACAUGAUCAAUAUUUAAUUUUUAAUUCAUUGGUACUUGCUCUUACAAUAUUUAAAAUGUAACAUUUACAAUUUCCAUCAAAAUUUAGUUCUAAAAUUCUUAUAAAAAAAAAUAAAUACUAUUCUACACUCAAAUUUUUUAUCACUUAGUAAAUUUUAAGACUUAUAAUAAACUUCUUGUUAAAUGUUCAAACAUUUCUAUUUAGUUAUUUAUUUAAUUAGUUUAUUUAGUUAGUUAUUUAUUUCUAACAAUUUUAUUCAUCAAUUAUCUACCUACAAAUAAAAAUUAUGAAAAAACUAUCAUAAUUGAAAUGUUUUGAAAGAUUAACUACGCCUAGAAAAAUCCAGUAUACUAUUUUUAUCAUAAUAUCAAGUCUCUAUGACUAUUUUUAACUGAAUUACAACCAAUAAAGCUAUUCUAAAGGAUAAUGGAAAUGGGUACAACGACUGUUUUAGGGAGGGAGUUGGGAAGGUAGAAUAUAGAUAAGAAUUUAAUGUAUUUAAUGUACAUCUGUAAGUAAGGAUUAACCAUUAAUAUUAAAAAAAUAUUAUGAAUGGAAUUUAGUUUAUAAUGUUACUUUGUUAACAAUAUAUAUGAAUAUGUCAUAUUAUGGUAAAAUAAUUUCAUAUACAAUAAACAUUUUCUUUAAUAAUAUUUGCUUAAUAUUGUAUCUAUUUUCCCAAUUUUUAAUUCAUUUAUUGGGAAAACUUUUUGGAAAAUCAAAAAAUGACCUCCCUAGUCUGAUUUCCUUUCAGAAACAGUGCUAUCAUUGUAAACUGGAGCAAAAUUGAUGGUAGACAAGUUGUUCACAGAAAAAAGUAAAUAAAUAAACAUCAUUGUAAAACCAAUACAUUUCUCGCUCCACUUAGAAUCUAAAACAAAUUUAAAUGUAUCAUUAUUUUUGAAAAGUUUGCCCAUUCUUUCUACUUUUUUCUUUUUUUUUCG